rfam:Pristionchus pacificus strain PS312 contig3151, whole genome shotgun sequence.
UCUUCAUUCUUCACACUCUCUCACCGGUCAGAGAGGCGAGAGAGAGUGUGGGAAAUGAAGAGA